rnacentral:tRNA from 1 species
UGCCGGAUGGUGUAAUGGCAGCACAACUGGUUCUGGCCCAGUUAGUCUAGGUUCGAAUCCUAGUCCGGCAGCCA